rnacentral:rRNA from 1 species
GACGAACGCUGGCGGCGUGCUUAACACAUGCAAGUCGAACGGAAAGGCUCCUGCUUGCAGGGGUACUCGAGUGGCGAACGGGUGAGUAACACGUGGGUGAUCUGCCUUGUACUCUGGGAUAAGCUUGGGAAACUGGGUCUAAUACCGGAUAGUAGCCGCCUUUAGUGUGGUGGUUGGAAAGUUUUUUCGGUGCAAGAUGAGCUCGCGGCCUAUCAGCUUGUUGGUGGGGUAAUGGCCUACCAAGGCGUCGACGGGUAGCCGGCCUGAGAGGGUGUACGGCCACAUUGGGACUGAGAUACGGCCCAGACUCCUACGGGAGGCAGCAGUGGGGAAUAUUGCACAAUGGGCGGAAGCCUGAUGCAGCGACGCCGCGUGGGGGAUGACGGCCUUCGGGUUGUAAACUCCUUUCGACAGGGACGAAGCUUU